rnacentral:rRNA from 1 species
UACGUAGGUGGCAAGCGUUGUCCGGAAUUAUUGGGCGUAAAGCGCGCGCAGGUGGUUUCUUAAGUCUGAUGUGAAAGCCCACGGCUCAACCGUGGAGGGUCAUUGGAGACUGGGGAACUUGAGUACAGAAGAGGAAAGUGGAAUUCCAAGUGUAGCGGUGAAAUGCGUAGAGAUUUGGAGGAACACCAGUGGCGAAGGCGACUUUCUGGUCUGUAACUGACACUGAGGCGCGAAAGCGUGGGGAGCGAACAGG